UAAUAAGUGUUUAUGGCACUUUUUAAAUCCAUAUCCACCUUGUGUGCAAUGUCAGUCGAUCUUCUUCAUGGAGAUCGAGCCAAACAUCAACCUUUAUUUUUUAACUCUUUGUCUGAAAAAUAUUAUGAAUAAACAAUUCAAAAUAC
rnacentral:misc_RNA from 1 species